rnacentral:misc_RNA from 1 species
AACGCACAUUGCGCCCCUUGGUAUUCCGAGGGGCAUGCCUGUUCGAGCGUCAUUACAACCCUCAAGCAUUGCUUGGUAUUGGGCUCCGCUGUUCACUCAGCGUGCCUUAAAACUAGUGGCGGUGCCGUCGGGCUCUGAGCGUAGUAAAUAUCCUCGCUACAGGGACCUGGUGGACGCUAGCCAUUAACCCCCAUCUUCUCAGUUUGACCUCGGAUCAGGUAGGGAUACCCGCUGAACUUAA